rnacentral:misc_RNA from 1 species
GUGGGAGGGGGCUUGCCCCCGAUAGCGCUGGGUCAGUUACAGACACUGAGGCUGACACACUGCAAUCGGGGGCAAGCCCCCUCCCAC